GACGAACGCUGGCGGCGUGCUUAACACAUGCAAGUCGAACGGUAAGGCCCUUCGGGGUACACGAGUGGCGAACGGGUGAGUAACACGUGGGUGAUCUGCCCUGCACUUCGGGAUAAGCCUGGGAAACUGGGUCUAAUACCGGAUAGGACUCCGGACUGCAUGGUCUGGGGUGGAAAGCUUUUGCGGUGUGGGAUGGGCCCGCGGCCUAUCAGCUUGUGGGUGGGGUGAUGGCCUACCAAGGCGACGACGGGUAGCCGGCCUGAGAGGGUGACCGGCCACACUGGGACGGAGAUACGGCCCAGACUCCUACGGGAGGCAGCAGUGGGGAAUAUUGCACAAUGGGCGCAAGCCUGACGCAGCGACGCCGCGUGAGGGAUGACGGCCUUCGGGUUGUAAACCUCUUUCAGCAUCGACGAAGCGAAAGUGACGGUAGGUGCAGAAGAAGGACCGGCCAACUACGUGCCAGCCGCCGCGGUAA
rnacentral:rRNA from 1 species